rnacentral:rRNA from 1 species
UACGUAGGGUGCAAGCGUUGUCCGGAAUUAUUGGGCGUAAAGAGCUCGUAGGCGGUUCGUCACGUCGGCUGUGAAAUCCCGAGGCUCAACCUCGGGUCUGCAGUCGAUACGGGCGGACUGGAGUACUGCAGGGGAGACUGGAAUUCCUGGUGUAGCGGUGAAAUGCGCAGAUAUCAGGAGGAACACCGGUGGCGAAGGCGGGUCUCUGGGCAACAACUGACGCUGAGGAGCGGAAGCGUGGGGAGCGAACAGG